rnacentral:rRNA from 1 species
UUCCAGACUCCUACGGGAGGCAGCAGUGGGGAAUAUUGCACAAUGGGGGGAACCCUGAUGCAGCGACGCCGCGUGAGUGAAGAAGUAUUUCGGUAUGUAAAGCUCUAUCAGCAGGGAAGAAAAUGACGGUACCUGACUAAGAAGCCCCGGCUAACUACGUGCCAGCAGCCGCGGUAAUACGUAGGGGGCAAGCGUUAUCCGGAUUUACUGGGUGUAAAGGGAGCGUAGACGGUUAUGCAAGUCUGAAGUGAAAGCCCCAGGCUCAACCAUGGGACUGCUUUGGAAACUGUAAAACUGGAGUGCAGGAGAGGUAAGCGGAAUUCCUAGUGUAGCGGUGAAAUGCGUAGAUAUUAGGAGGAACACCAGUGGCGAAGGCGGCUUACUGGACUGUAACUGACGUUGAGGCUCGAAGGCGUGGGGAGCAAACAGGAUUAGAUACCCGGGUA